CGCUUGUGUAUGAGAGUUAUUGUAUUUGGAGGCAGUGUCCAAAAGUUGUCCAAAAUAGAAUGAGUGGAAUUGUCACACUCGAUCGGAGAGAGUGGGAGGAAAGGACAGGCUGCAGGGCCUCCUACCGGACAACAUUGACUAAAACGGGAUGUCCAGGUUCCUGGCCUUGCUUCCUAGCUCGCCAUCAAAGGAGUUGACCUCACAGGCUCCACUCCAGGAAGCAGACACCAUGUCAUCACAACAACAGAAGCAGGACCGACACAGAACCAAGGAAGUCCAAUCCCAUCACGCAUCCAAAGCAGCAUGAGGAUCCUCGCAAAACAAACCUCCGGCCCCCCUCAAGCAACCACCGUCGUCCAAAAAGAAGAAGAGCAGGAGGUGGGAGGAUGCAGCCUGGCAGUUCCUUCCAGCUGGGUCAUAUUUAACGCAGCGGUACCAGAUGAGAGAACUUGCAACCACCCGCACGAGAAUCCCAUGCCUCAAUUUACAGAAGCAUAGAGAAAGAGAAUCAAUAGAUGUAUUAUUUCACCUCGUUAUGCCACUUGAGCAGCACCGUGUUUAUGCUGCGUUGCGAUGAAGAACCCCACUACGCAGCAACCCACGCAUGAGGCUUCAAGCUGAUAAAAAGGAAAAAUAGCCCAUCCAGAGUCAAAGGCAUGUUACGCUCAAUGAUCCCCCCCUCCACAGUGCUGUUAAUGGGGGAGGUGGAAUUAUAAAUCCUAUAAAAAACACAGAGGCUCGAUGUACAGUGUGUGUAUGAAUGUGUGUAUUGAUGAGUAGAAGAUACUUUACAGUAUCUUCAGUGCACUUCAGGAAGCUGGAUGAGCAGCUUUUCACAGGAAGAUGCAUGUUGUUGCCAUGGCAACCAAAAAAAAGUGAAGACACACAUUUGAAGACAAAACCCCUUCUUCAAUUAUUUAUUAUUGC